rnacentral:lncRNA from 1 species
GAUUUUGAAGAAACUCUGGAAGUGUUGACGGAGCAGUCCACAAUUCCCCAAGUAAACAUCGCGACCAAGUCUUCUGUCAAAGCUGAAUCCUCUAGUAAGGCUGCUGGGGGCUGCCAGAUCUGUGGCAAGAAAUUCCACACUGCGCUCAACAUAGCCGUCAGUUGUCUCCUCUGGGUCCUGGUCAAAAAUCAGCUCCGGGCAGUGGUAAAGAUACUCCUUCCUCAGUCAAUUACAUUGCCUCUAAUCAGGCUAUGAAUGGGUGGUACCCUGACACAGGUUCGACUCAUCAUAUAUCUCCCAAUGAAAUUAAUAUUCUACAUCCUCGUCCAACAUCAGAUCAUGCUUCUGUUGCCACAGCUAGUGGUCAGACCAUGAAAAUUAAAAGAUCUGGUGAUUCUGUUGGGAGUUGUAAUAAUUCUAAAUUUCUGUUGAAAGAUAUGUUUAUAAUUCCUCAGGCAACCAAGAAUUUGCUUUCUGUUAGAAAAUUGUGUGCUGACAAUAAUGUAGAUGUUAUUUUUGAUGCACAGAGGGUCAGGAUCAGGGAUCUAAGCACUAAGGAAUUCUUGGCUCAAGGUGAAGUGGAAGGAGACCUAUACAAGUUACCUCUUCAAAUAAAUACUCCUGUGGAGUCCUUACUGGUGGAUGGAGCCUCUGCUGAUUUCUGGCAUUUUAGAUUGGGACAUUUGAACACUCGGGCAGUGGAGAAAUUAAUUAGGGAUGGAUUAUUAAAUUCCAAUUGUAAGAUGAGUAAAAAUUGUAAGGCAUGUAUGGUGGGUAAAGCUCACGCUUCACCACAUAAAACAAG